rnacentral:rRNA from 1 species
UACGGAGGGGGCUAGCGUUGUUCGGAAUUACUGGGCGUAAAGCGCACGUAGGUGGCUUUGUAAGUUAGGGGUGAAAGCCCGGGGCUCAACUCCGGAAUUGCCUUUAAGACUGCAUCGCUAGAACGUCGGAGAGGUAAGUGGAAUUCCGAGUGUAGAGGUGAAAUUCGUAGAUAUUCGGAAGAACACCAGUGGCGAAGGCGACUUACUGGACGACUGUUGACACUGAGGUGCGAAAGCGUGGGGAGCAAACAGG